rnacentral:misc_RNA from 1 species
AUCAGAAUGAGUAUAUGAAAAAUAAAUUAAAGAUGAACAAAGUGCAUGGAUCGAUUUUUCCUUUUCAUUUCCUAAAAAAUUCUCACAACAUGCUUUUCCUAUAACAAGAUAACUGGACACAAGCUUCAUAUAGCCAAGCAAAUAUUUUAUGGCAUGAAUAAACUGAUGAGUUUGAUCCUUGGAUCAGUACACAUACCACAGCUAAUAAGUAAAAUAGGAUAACUAUAUGUAGGCAAGCAACAUUCAAGAGUUUAAAAAAAAUUCAAUCCAAUUUCGUAUGCCAAAUCUGGUCAGCAAUUUUGCGGUAGCAUAUUCCAAGCAGAAAAUGAAACUUUGCUAUAUGUGUCAAUUAAGCAUAUCUCAAACUAGCAGAAAACACAUAACAUGAACUGAAAACUAUAUAACAACUAAAGAACUAUGGCAAACUUACUCAUGGCCUUUAAGAAUGCGAAAAGGCACUAUGAAACAAUAAGUUGUUUUUGAUAAUCUACUAUUACUAAGAAUCAAUAUGCAGACUCAUACAACCCCAUUUGAAAAUAGUCAAAAGAAAAACGAGAAGAGAGGGAUUUCAAGAACAAGAGAACAGAAUACAGGUCAUAGUUCACAUGCCUCAAGGAAAUAAAUUAGAAUUUGACUAUCUUAAGAAUGAAAACAAAAGGAAAACAAAAAAAAGAUAAAAACAUGCUAAAUUAUGCGAUAUGACAAAACGAUAUAGUGAGUUUCGAAAUUACGGGAAAGAAAUCAACAGAAUUGCAACCUAUCGACAAAAUGCCUUCAUCCCAUGAAUCAAUAUUAUUAGAAAUAACUAAG